ACAAAGACCCCCCAGGUAGCCUCUAGCAGGGCUGUAGGGGCAAGUGCUGUUAGUAGCAGCAGCAGUGUCUAUGUACUACACACACCACACACAGACAAAGCUCCCCCAGGUAGCCUCUAGCAGGGCUGUAGGGGCAAGUGCUGCUAGUAGCGAGUAGCAGCAGUGUCUAUGUACUACACACACCACACACAGGCAAAGCUCCCCCAGGUAGCCUCUAGCAGGGCUGUAGGGGCAAGUGCUGUUAGUAGCAGCAGUGUCUAUGUACUACACACACCACACACAGACACAGCUACCCCAGGUAGCCUCUAGCAGGGCUGUAGGGGCAAGUGCUGUUAGUAGCAGCAGUGUCUAUGUACUACACACACCACACACAGACAAAGCUCCCCCAGGUAGCCUCUAGCAGGGCUGUAGGGGCAAGUGCUGUUAGUAGCAGCAGCAGUGUCUAUGUACUACACACACCACACACAGACAAAGCUCCCCCAGGUAGCCUCUAGCAGGGCUGUAGGGGCAAGUGCUGCUAGUAGCAGCAGUGUCUAUGUACUACACACCACACAGACAAAGCUCCCCCAGGUAGCCUCUAGCAGGGCUGUAGGGGCAAGUGCUGUUAGUAGCAGCAGCAGUGUCUAUGUACUACACACACCACACACAGACAAAGCUCCCCCAGGUAGCCUCUAGCAGGGCUGUAGGGGCAAGUGCUGUUAGUAGCAGCAGCAGUGUCUAUGUACUACACACACCACACACAGACAAAGCUCCCCCAGGUAGCCUCUAGCAGGGCUGUAGGGGCAAGUGCUGUUAGUAGCAGCAGUGUCUAUGUACUACACACACCGCACACAGACAAAGCUCCCCCAGGUAGCCUCCAGCAGGGCUGUAGGGGCAAGUGCUGUUAGUAGCAGCAGUGUCUAUGUACUACACACACCACACACAGACAAAGCUCCCCCAGGUAGCCUCUAGCAGGGCUGUAGGGGCAAGUGCUGUUAGUAGCAGCAGUGUCUAUGUACUACACACACCGCACACAGACAAAGCUACCCCAGGUAGCCUCUGGCAGGGCUGUAGGGGCAAGUGCUGUUAGUAGCAGCAGUGUCUAUGUACUACACACACCACACACAGACAAAGCUGCCCCAGGUAGCCUCUGGCAGGGCUGUAGGGGCAAGUGCUGUUAGUAGCAGCGGUGUCUAUGUACUACACACACCACACACAGACAAAGCUACCCCAGGUAGCCUCUAGCAGGGCUGCAGGGGCAAGUGCUGUUAGUA